ACCAAGGCAAGAAAAGCUCUCACUCUCUCCACCUCUCUUCAUUUUCGUCCCUCCUCUUUUCCCCCACUCUCACAACUUUUCUCCCACCAUUAUCACACUCCAUAGAAGCCCUUGAAGCCCCAAGAGAAGUAUCAAAGCAAGGGAGAGCGUGGAAAAACUAGGGCGUAAAGUUAGAGUGAAGGUUGUGCUUCGAGGGAAUUGGUCCGCAGGACGGUGUCACAGCUUAAGAUCAUCUCUAUCUUCCGCACCGAAGAUCAGGUUGAUGGCUGGUGUUGACGGGGAGAGCUGAGGCUAGGGUUCAACUCCGUGUUUUGACUCCCGC